rnacentral:rRNA from 1 species
CCUACGGGUGGCAGCAGUGGGGAAUAUUGGACAAUGGGCGAAAGCCUGAUCCAGCCAUGCCGCGUGUGUGAAGAAGGCCUUCGGGUUGUAAAGCACUUUCAGUGGGGAGGAAGGCCUUGGGGCUAAUACCCUCGAGGAUGGACGUCACCCACAGAAGAAGCACCGGCUAACUCCGUGCCAGCAGCCGCGGUAAUACGGAGGGUGCGAGCGUUAAUCGGAAUUACUGGGCGUAAAGCGCGCGUAGGCGGUCUGAUAAGCCGGUUGUGAAAGCCCCGGGCUCAACCUGGGAACGGCAUCCGGAACUGGCAGGCUAGAGUGCAGGAGAGGAAGGUAGAAUUCCCGGUGUAGCGGUGAAAUGCGUAGAGAUCGGGAGGAAUACCAGUGGCGAAGGCGGCCUUCUGGACUGACACUGACGCUGAGGUGCGAAAGCGUGGGUAGCAAACAGGAUUAGAUACCCGAGUAGUC